rnacentral:tRNA from 1 species
CGGACUAAUGCUCUCUGGAUUGGGCGUUCAGCUGUUAACUGAAAAUUUGUGGGAUCAAGGCCUACUAGUCCUG